GACGAACGCUGGCGGCGUGCCUAAUACAUGCAAGUAGGACGCAGGUGCGGACGGGUGAGGAACGCGUAGGGAACUGCCUAUUAGAGGGGGAUAACUAUUGGAAACGAUUGCUAAUACCGCAUACUAGUUGAUGGACCUUCGUUGUAUUAGCUAGUAGGUAGGGUAAUGGCCUACCUAGGCGACGAUACAUAGCCGACCUGAGAGGGGGAUCGGCCACACUGGGACUGAGACACGGCCCAGACUCCUACGGGAGGCAGCAGUAGGGAAUCUUCGGCAAUGGGGGGAACCCUGACCGAGCAACGCCGCGUGAGUGAAGAAGGUUUUCGGAUCGUAAAGCUCUGUUGUUAAGGAAGCGGUACUUAACCAGAAAGGGACGGCUAACUACGUGCCAGCAGCCGCGGUAAUAC
rnacentral:rRNA from 1 species